rfam:Ictidomys tridecemlineatus contig000623, whole genome shotgun sequence.
UGGGCUGUGGCUCAGAGGCAGAGCGCUUGCCUGGCAUGCAUGAGGCACUGGGUUCAAUCCUCAGCACCAUAU